rnacentral:lncRNA from 1 species
GCUCAAAGCAUUCCAAGUAUUGGGAGCGGAUGUUGUAACUUGAAAAUGAGGUAUCUAGUUGGAAAGAAGGCAUUCAAGACUACGGAGGAGAUGGAAAGUCUUAUUGAUGAAAAUAGUAAGAUAAUUUGGACAAAUGCUCAAAGACCUCUUGGGAAAGUGAACUCAGAAAUCGCAUCCAGUUCUGCACCUUCGGAUGGUGAUGCCCAAAAUCACUUCAAAUCAAGAGAGAAGUCUUUUAAGAACGCCUUGGAGUCCCUCCAACAAGAUCACAAGAGCAAAGUGAUAGCCCUAUGUGGAAUGGGUGGUGUGGGGAAAACCACCAUGAUGGAGCAACUGAAAAAGGCUGCAGAAGAUAAGAAAAUGUUUGAUUAUGUUGUGAAGGUGGUUAUUGGGCAACAAAUUAACAUGCUUUCUAUUCAGCAAGAUGUGGCAGUGUAUAUGAUGGGCCAGUCCCUCAUUGAACUGAGUAAAGAAGCUAGAGCAGAUCGUCUUCGUAUAACAUUUGGAAACCUUCUAGAAGGUAGAAGAAAGGUUUUACUAAUACUAGAUGAUGUAUGGGAAACGAUUGACCUCAAAGAUAUUGGAUUGAGUCCUUUGCCCAACGGCUUCAAGUUGUUGCUGACAUCACGAAAUGAAAAUAUUUGCAAACAAAUUGCAGUAGAAGCCAAUUCGGAGUCAACACUAGUUCGAGUGGAUGUGAUGGAAGAGCCUGAAGCAUGUAGUUUCUUUUGGCAAAUUAUAGGUGUUUCAAAACAAUAUGAUAAGGAUCUCAAACAAAUAGGAAGUGAGAUCGUGAGAAGAUGUGGUUUUUUGCCCCUUGCCAUUAAACUCAUCGCCAAAACCCUUCAAUUUCAAGAAGUUUUUGUAUGGAGAGAUACUUUUCAACGGUUGAAGAAGAAGAAUCUUGAUGAGAAUGUGCAAGAAGUUAUUAAGAUAAGCUAUGAUUAUAUAAAAACAGAGGAGGAAAAGGUGAUUUUUCUUCUGUGUGGCUUGUUUCCUGAUGACUUUAAUAUCCCAAUUGAGGAACUCACAAGAUAUGCAUGGGGCCUACAGUUAUUAAGUGAAGUAUCCACUUUGGGAGAGGCUAGAGACAGGACAAAAAUGUGUGUGCAGAAUCUUAGAAAUGCAAAUUUGUUGAUGGAUAGCGAUUGCAUUGGGUGUGUCAAAAUGCAUGAUCUUGUGCUUGCUUUUGUCAUAAAUACAGUUUCUAAAGGUCAUCAUCCAUGGAUAAUCAACCAUGGUGAUAUUUCAAAGUGGAGUAGAGCUGAAGUGAGAGAGUCUUGCAAAAGACUUUCUAUUACUUGCACAGGAAUGUCUGAGUUUCCUGGUGACUCUAAGUACCCAAACCUAUCACUUUUGAGACUUAUGGAUGGAGAUAAGUCACUUAAGUUUCCUGAAGGUUUUUAUGAAAAAAUGGAAAAUCUUGAAGUUGUAGCAUAUGAAAAAAUGCAGUAUCCGUUGCUUCCCAGAUCACUUGAAUGCUCCACCAAGCUCCAAACACUCAUUCUCCAUCAAUGCCUAUUGAUGUUUGAUUUCUCUGUUAUUGGUGAACUCAUGAAUCUGGAAGUGCUCAGUUUUGCUCAUUGUGGCAUCAGAAAGUUACCAUCCACAAUUGGAAAUUUGAAGAAGCUAAAGCUAUUGGAUUUGACGGGGUGUGUAAAUCUUCGUAUUGAUGAUGGUGUAUUGUUAAAUUUGGUCAAGCUUGAAGAGCUUUAUAUGAGAGUUGAUGAUAGAAAGGCAAUUAGGUUCACAGACAGCAAUCGUGUUGAAUUAGCAGAGCUUUCAAAUCAUCUUUCUGCAUUAGAAGUUGAGUUCUUUGACAACAAUGGUACGCCCAAGAAUAUGCUGUUUACUGAACUUAAAAGGUUUAGAAUCUCUAUGGGAUGUGGUUUAGGAGACAAUACUCACAAAAAUAUGCACUCAUUUGAAAACACAUUGAGGUUGGUCACUAACAAAGAUGAGCUGUUGGAAUCUACAAUGAAUGAGUUGUUUGAGAAAACCGAGGUGCUUUAUUUGGAGGUGGAUGGUAUGAACGAUCUUGAAGAAGUUUUAAUGGAAUCAGUUCAUCUCCCUCAGCAAGCGUUUAAUAAUCUAAGAGUCCUUGAUGUGUUCAAGUGUGAAAACUUGAGGUACCUCUUCACAGUCCCUAUUGCAAAUGGUUUGGUGAAGCUUGAGCGCCUCACAGUUUCAGAGUGCUCUGUUCUUGAAGUACUUGCACAUGGUGAAAAUGGUGGAGCUGAGAAAAUUAAGUUUCAGGGGCUAAAGUUUCUAGGAUUGGAUAGGCUACCAAAGCUGAUAGGUCUUUGCAACACUGCUAAUGUAAUUGAGCUACCACAGCUGGUGGAGUUGGAACUUGAUGGCCUUCCUAACUUCAAUAGCAUUUAUCCAAAGAAAACAUCUGCAACAUCUUCUAUGUCCAGUAAUGACUCUGCAAUUCAACCAUUAUUUAACAAACAGGUACCUCUAUAUUAGGAUUUAUGUUGACAGUUUCAUAGAUUGACUUAUAAUCAACAAGUCUUAAUUGUUGUGCAGGUGCUGAUUCCUAAGUUGGAGAAAUUGAGGAUUUGGAGGAUGGAUAAGCUGAAAGAGAUAUGGCCUUAUCAAGUUAUAAGUAGCAAAGACGUUGAUGCCUGCGUGUUGAGAAAGAUUGAAGUGAGGGGAUGUGAUAAUCUUGUGAAUCUGUUUCCAACCAAUCCCAUGUCUUUGCUGGGUUGUCUGGAAGUGCUUGAUGUUUCUAAUUGUGGAAACAUUGAAGUGUUAUUUAACAUCGACAUGAGUUGUGUUGGUGAAAUUGAAGAACACAGUAGCAACUUGAGACAAAUUGAAGUAUCUAAUUUGGAGAAGCUAAGAGAGUUGUGGAGGAUGAAAGGUGAAAGUAGCUCUGAUAUCCUCAUCCGUACCUUUCAAGCUGUUGAAAGUAUAGAAAUAGAAGAGUGCAAGAGGUUUGUAAACGUAUUCACACCGACCGUCACCAAUUCUGAUGUGAAAACAGUUAUGAAUGUGAGUAUAGAUGGAAGGAGACCUUCUGAAGAAACCAGGAGCAACAUUGAAUUGGUUCAGAACAGCCAGGAGGUAUGUGAUGUCAUUGAGCUUUCAAUUUCUCUUUUGAUGUUAACAACUUAUGUAUAUGUGUCUCUAUACAUACAUACACGUAUAUAACAUAUCACACUACAACAAAUCAAUCAAUUCUACACAAUUCUUUCGAUGUGUUCUGCUAGAUUCUCACUCUUGAAUUUCAAUCACACAAGGAUGGAAAGGAGAAAUACAAGAAAUUAUAGAUCUCACACUGGAAAUUGAUGAUCUAAUGAUCAAUUUUACAUACAUGUGAUAGAAAUCUGGCGGUUUGAGUUGCCAAGAUCUCCCAAAGCGACUAAUCUCUAAAAUAAUUGAUAAGAUGUCUCUCCUAACUGAUCUCUUACAAUAUAAAGGCAUAACUGAAAUAGUUAAUUUACUUAUUUACCCGUGCUGCCCACAAUUGCUUACUCAUGGUUUAAAUCCUUUCUUGCCUCUUUGUGAAUAAGUAAGAAUUGGUUUAUUUCCCUUCUUGCCCCUCCUUGAAUAUGUGAACAUGAGUUAUAUUUAUUUGUAAUUAUAUUUGUUGUUGAGAUAUGUGCAGAUUAAUGUAAUAUCCAAGGAAGAGAUCAUUUCAGAGGUGGAUGGUAAUAUUCCUGACGUUGAAUCCUCAAUUCAUCCCAAACCUUUUAACGUUAAUCACCUUCAAGUACUUGGCUGUAAGGAUGUUGAAGUGGUGUUUGAGAUAGAGAGUUCCAGUAACAGCAACAGCACCACAGAUUUCACAACAAGUCUGCAUAAAUAUAAUCAUCAACCACCACCACUACUACUUCCCCACCUCAAGUCUUUAUAUUUAAUAAAUAUGGAGAGGAUGAGUGAUGUGUGGAAGUGCAAUUGGAAGAAACUUGUAAUUCAUCAAAACCAAUCACAAUCCUACUCAUUCCACAACCUCACAAUCAUACACAUGGAAAAGUGUCAUACCAUAAAGUACUUAUUUUCACCUGUCAUGGGCAAACUUCUUCCCAACUUAAAGGAUGUCUGGAUACAUGAGUGUGAUGGUAUUGAAGAAGUUGUUUCAAAUAGAGAUAUUAAUGAUGAAAAUGAAGAAAUAAUAUCUUCUACUCACACAAACACCAUCUCCUCCUUCCCUCUUCUUGAUUCUCUCUACCUUUUUAAUCUGCCAAGCCUAAAGAGUAUCGAUGGCGGUACUACAAUCACAACUACUUCCAUCCAUGAUCAGUUCCAGGUAUAUUUGAUUUCUUUUAAGCGAAUCCUUUACAUAUUUCAGUUAUUUGUUUUAUUUAAAUAUAUAUUUAUUUUUAAUAUUCUAUUUUCCAUUAGCUGCUUUAUAUAACUCCCUAAGCUAAUUCUUCUGAAGCUGGAAAGACAAAAAUAAAUAACUACAUGCAUAGUAUUUAAUAGUUUUUUCAUUUGCGUAGGUCAUUAAGUUGAUUUAGGAUAAGACCGGAUUGUCAGGGAGAGAAAAAAAUUGAUUGAUGGAUGUAUAUAAGUCAUAUGAAAAAUAGAAAAAAAAUGAUUUUAUUGAUGCUUUUUUUUGUUCUGUUUUUUUUUUUUUUUUUUUUUUUUUUUGUUUUGUUUUGUUUUGUUUCCUAGCAUGCUAGUUUGGCUUAGUAAAAUUCGGUUUGUUGUUUAAGAGAAAUAUCUUUUUUGCUGACAUUGAACAAAACAAUAUGAAACUUUAUGUAGCUGUAUCUAAUGUGCCAACUGAAAAUAUAUAAAUACAAUAUGUGACAAUAGGCUCCUGUUUACAAUUUCUUUUGUACCAGAAAAGUGUGCUAUUCAAAAUAUUAACUUUAAGACAUUGAACUAUUAUAGAGUCAAAUGUCAAUGUUGUCAAUUUUGGAAAUAUCUCUAGAUCUUAAUUUAUCAAGUAUAAUUAGCCAACUUUUUACUGAAAAGGACUCCCUUGAAAAAAAUCUUUGUUCUAAAAAUGCUUUCGAUCUAUUUAGCAUAUUAGAAUUAAGAUAGAUUUUAUAAAAAUACAAUUAAUGAAAAUUUAUAGAUGUAUAAUAAAUUAACAUGAAGAAGAUGAUGCAUGUAUAAUAAUUUAACCGUUCAUGUUAGUAAAAUUAUUUAAAACAUGAAGAAGAUGAUGCAUGUAAUCAAUGCAGGUAUGGAAAUAUAAGCAUAUUGAUUGCAAACUCAUUUCCUAAUAAUAAAUAAAUUUAGAAGUACAAUUAUGUUUUCAUUUUCUCACAUUGAGGGGGUAAUGGGUUAUAUAGUCCAAUGAUAUUUGUUUUCUCUUCAUAAAUCAUGGCACUAUAAUAAUUUUGAAUGGGGCCAUAUACAGAAAACCAUUAUAUUUUAGUCAUUUUUUUCUGUUCAACAUAUUUUCAUUUACUUUCUUAUUAUAGCAUCAUACUUUCAUUUCUUCCAGUUAUAGCAUCAUACUUUGAAAAAUAUACCCAAUUACACAUGGCUACAAUGGCUUGAUAAGAAAAGUUGAAAGUAGAAUGCUAUAAAUGGGUGGAUUUUGAAAGUACCUAUAUGCUGGUCUUGGGUCAUUUAUUAAAGGCUAAAAUGCUAGAAAUAGCAAUUUACUUUCAUCGAUUUGCUUAUCAGAGCAUCAUACUUUCUCUUUUUCCUAUUAAAGCAUUGUAGUUUAAGAAACCCACCCAAUUAUAGCAGUGUCAUCUAAAUACAAUGGAUUUCUGUUGCUGUAAUANNNNNNNNNNNNNNNNNNNNNNNNNNAGCAUAUUCAUAUAUAUAAAUAUAUAUAUAUAUAUAUAUAUAUAUAUAUAUAUAUAUAUGUUGAUUAAUUGCUAAUAAAAGUACUUCAAAGUCUGUUCAUUUUCAAGUUUUAAUUUGAAUAAAUGCUAAUUAAUUGUGUUAAUUAGCACCCUGGCAGUUUUGUUUUUUCUUGUUUCUAUUUUCUUUUUUGUAGCUGUUCAAAAUCUCCUGUAAGCCUAUAUAAUUAAGGCCCCUUUUAUGAUUGAUUUAGUGUACCUUUUCUUUCAUCCACCAUCUACUUGUUCUCUCUUGCCAACAAUAUAAAGCAUAGCAUACAACUGUUUUCUUGUUUUUCGUUAUUUGGCUAUACAUAUAACAAGGGUAUUUUGGUCAUUUGACAAACCGUCUUCCUUAAUGGAGUGGAGUCCAAACACCACAGUCUGAUUUCUCUUAAUUCAAAUUUUCACCAUAAAAUCCAACAUGAACUUUGUCUUUUAAACAAUUUGAAUCCUUCAAAAAUAGGCCCAGAUUUUGUGGCCUAGGUGGUCUUCUAUAAUAAACGAAUAAUUGGAAAUGCGGUGCUAUUUCUUGCAUUUAGCCCUUCUUCAAUACAAACAAGUAAAGUUCAUAGUUACAAAAUUUUGCAUAUUUUAUGGUUUAUAUUAUGCUUUUAUGUGUUUAUAGACGUGUUCCUGCAGACAUGUGUGAAAUAUAUAUGUUGAUUAAUUACUAAUCAAAGUACUUCAAAGUCUCUUCAGUUUCGAGUUUUAAUUUGAAUAAAUGCUAAUUAGUUGUGUUAAUUAGCACCCUGGCAGUUUUGUUUUUUCUUGUUUCUAUUUCCUUUUUUCUAGCUGUUCAUAUUCUCGUAUUAGCCUGUAUAAGGCCACUUUUAUGAUUGAUUUAGUGUACCUUUUCUUUCAUCCACCAUCUACUUGUUCUCUCUUGCCAACAAUAUAAGGCAUAGCAUACAACUGAUUUCUCGUUUUUAGUUAUUCGGUUAUAUAUAACAAGGGUAUUUUGGUCAUUUGACAAACCUUCUUCCUUAAUGGAGUGUCCAAAAACCACGAUCUGAUUUCUCUUAAUUCAUUUUUUCACCAUAAAAUCUAACAUGAACUUUGUCUUGUAAACCAUUUGAAUCUUUCACAUGUAGGCCCAGAUUUUGUGGCCUAGGUGGUCUUCUAUGUUUAUGCUGAUUCUGUGUCUUUCAGAAGUAUGCUUCUUAUGAUCCUUCCACUCUCUUCAUGUCGUUGAUUCUGUCUGUCACCAUCAGAACCUCAUAAAAGUUUCUGCUGAGGUGUCAUGCCAGUGGUGACCUGGAAUUUGUGAAAAGUCUAAUGCCAUUUAUUUUCUCUUCAUAAAUCAUGGCACUCUACUUCAGCUUGCCUUAUGAAAUCCACCCAAGUUUGGAGAAAUGUUCUAUGCUGACCACUUUGACCUGCUAUAGCAGGUUAAAGUGGUCACAAUAGAAAAUUUUGUCAAAGUUGAGUGGCUUUAGUGAAAUUAAGUGGACUAAACUUUGACAACCUUUUCAAUUAUGACCACUUUAACCUGCUAUAGUAGGUCAAAUUUGUCGAUAUAGAAAGAAAUUUCAAACUUGGGUAGGUUUGAUGAGCUAAAACUGAAAUGGAAUUGUUAAACUGCAAAAAAAUGGCCGAGAUAUAUUGCCCUUUUGUAGUUCAACUUACAUUGUCGACGUUACUGAACUACCUUAGUUUUGGGAAGCACUUGUGCAUGUACAUAGCAAACAGCUAAGCUUUGUUAAUUUAAAUAGAUCCAUUGAUUUUUCAUGUGUUGUUGUAGUGUUCUCAAGUCGGUGUUGCUUCUUGGUUCUUAUGCCAAUACUCCAAACACAUACAUAUAUGGAAUUGUCCUGCCCUAUCAAGAGUGUUUCCAUCCAAUGUAGUGGGACAACUGAAUAAGCUUGAAGUGUUGAGCAUAUCAGAUUGCAAGUCAAUGGUGGAGAUAUUUGAAAGUAAAGAAAUAAACAAAGAUGGUGUUGAUAGUACUACGAAUGUUGGUGAUGGAAGUGAUGAUACUUGUACUGCAAUCACCAUCCCAAGGUCGGCUAAUAUGACUCUGCUUCAAUUGUCCAACCUAACGAUAUUGAGAAUCUAUGACUGUGAAGUAUUGGAAUAUAUAUUCACAAGUUCCACACUUGAAAGCCUCAAGCAACUCAAAGAACUGAUGGUAGUUAAAUGCAAGGCAAUGAAAGUGAUUGUGAAGGAAGACGGAGAUUUACCAGAACUCAAGGGUUUCUUCCGUCGUCUCAAGUCCCUUACACUUGUAGAUUUACCAGAUCUGAAGGGUUUCUUCUUGGGGAAGAAUGAGUUCAGGUGGAAAGCAUUGGAAAAGGUUAAGAUUUAUGGCUGCCCACAAAUGAUGAAUUUCACAUCUGGUCACUCCAUGACUCCGAAGCUCAACUACAUACAUACAGGAUUAGGCAAGCAUAGUCUUGAAUGUGGCCUCAACUUCAAUUUGACCAAUGUUACACAAGAGGUAUGUUGUUACUUUACUUCAUCAUUUAACCAGAUGAUCAGCAUGUUGUUUUAUGAUGUUCAACAUAUUAUUUGCUUACAAAUUUAGAUGGUUCAUAUGCAAAACAUAGUAUUUGCUUACACUAUGGGGGGUUUUUCCAGGUCGGUUCAUAUGUGUAUUCCGGAAGAAACACAAAACAAAACCAAAUGAAGAUACAUAUAUAACCACUUCCCAUCUUUUGUAUCUAUAAAAAGUUACGAAAAUAUGCAAUUUUUUUUAUUAUAAGUUAAUAUUUCAUUCCUAAGAUAUUAAGUGGUCUCUUAUGUUAUAAAAGAUGUUAUAUUCACUAAUUCAUAAGUUAGCAAUUUAAUAUUUUAAUCAAGUUAGAUGAAGUAAAGACAAAAGGCCCAAUUGACAUAUUCACUGAGGGUGGUUUUUUCCAUGUCUAAAGAUUUUUGAACAUAUACUAUACUAGUUUCCGUUUGAUCAGAAUCAGAUCAACAACCCCUUCUUCUUUACAGUGUCCCUAUUGUAACCACAAAAAUCAACAAAUACAGGGACCAAAUUUGCAGUUUUCGCUAAAACGUAUUUUAAUUUGACAAAAAAAUUGAUCGGUUUGUAGAAAAACAAAGUAUUCAAUUAAAGGAAUAACAAAAUAAGCACCUAAGAAAAAGUGCUUCUAAAAUUCACAAAAUAUUUACGUUCCUUAAAAAUACAAGACUUAAGAAUUUAUAUCAAAUAUAUGAACAUAAAAAAUUAUUUUCUUGUGUAUUACAAAUGAUACUUGGCAAGUUCAUUCUUAUUCAAAUCAUUUGUAAAUUUCAUAGAAUGUGAUCGUUUGGUACCUGACAUAAAUCAUUUAUUAGGAACUUAGAACUAACAUCUUCAUUCGGUUAAGAAAAGAAAACACAAAAUAGAUGGAAAUUGAAGCAUUGCCUCAUUUUACAUAUUUUCACUCAUAUCUGUUAACAAAUAGAUUUUUGUAUGGAAGUAUAUAUUGUAAUUAAAUCAUUUAUAUCGUUUUCAUCCAAUUUAAUUCAAUUAUCUAACAUAUUUUAUAAAUAUUGUGAUGCUAGUUGUUACUUAAUCAAGUUCUUCUUUUCUCUCUCAUCUUUUACAAGGUAAACAUUUUUUUAGCGUUUAUUACCUAAAAUUGACGAAAAUAGUAUAGCUGAGAUGAUUGUAAAAGUGUAAGUAUAUCAUCCAUAUAUCAUUUGUUGUAUUUGACAAUGCCAUAAAAAAUACAAUAACAUAAUUAUCUUUUUUCCUAAAAAAAUUGGAUGUAAAUAUUCAGUACAUGAAAAAUUACCCUUUUUGAAGUAGCCAAAACACUUAACUUUUACUUUUUAUUUUAUCCCCCCCACCCACCCACUCACCCACAAACUAUCAUUUUUACUUUUAUUUAAAAAGACUCGACAAUCAUCGAUAACAAUCUAAAUUAUUUGAGCAAAUGCAAUAUAUAAAGCUGAAAUUUUCUUCAUGGUGCUCAUCUUCACAAAAUAUAAUGUAAGCAGUGUCAUAAACUAGGUUGUUGAUUGGAAAUACAUGUUGGCUCAUUGAAGAAUAACAUAACUUGCAAUCCUUAUUAUGUUUGUAAUAUUAAAUGUAUUUUUCUUUAAUAAUUGUCGUGUUUGUGAUGAUCUAUCUAUGUUUGAUUUUUCUUAGCAGACUCAACUUCCUAUGUGCUCUAUUCCAGAUAUGAUAAUGCUAGUUCAGUUCCCAUGGUCUUUUUCAAAUUUAGUUGAAGUAGAUGCACAAGGGAGUGACAAAUUGUUGAAAAGCCACAUAAUUUUUCCAUGCAAGGAGUUGCUGAAUUUGAAGAAUCUUGAAAAGCUUUCUAUUAUUACCAGCAAGUAUGGUGAAUCUAAAAUAGAGGAGGUAUUUGAAGUAGCAGAAGGGACAAAUGAAGAUGUGGAUAUUGAAACACAAUCUGUUGUGGUAUUUGAGAAGCUGAAAGAGGUGACUUUGGGUAGAUUAAAUAAUCUGAAGCAUAUGUGGAAGAGCAAUCGGUGGAUAGUGUUGAACUUUCCAAACCUUACAAAGGUCUCAAUUGAAAGUUGUAAGCUUCUUGGACACGUUUUCAGUAGUUGCAUGGUUGGCAGUCUAUUGCAGCUCCAAGAGCUACAAAUAAGUAACUGCGAGAGUAUGGAUGUGAUUGUGAAGCAAGUUGAAGAUUCCAAAACCAGACCGACUACAAAGGUUGUGUUCCCUUGUCUAAAAUCCAUAACACUUGAAAUGCUUCCAAAUCUCAAGGGAUUUUGCCUGGGGAAGGAGGCUUUUGAAUGGCCAAUAUUAGAUACUUUGGAAAUCAAAGAUUGUCCAAAAAUAACAGUUUUCACAAAUGGGCAAUCAACUACUCCAAAGCUAAAACUAAUAGAUACAACUUUUGGAUUGUGUCAUGCAACGGAAGACCCAAACUCUUUCAUAAAGACCAAACAAGAAGAGGUAUAUGGUGUCUCCUUUGGUUAUUAGUAACAGAUUAAUAUGUUUGAUCCAACAAAACGUUUACUUUACUCUCGAAUUUACAACUUAUUGUAAUCUCCUCUCCUACAGGGAUGGGAGUUCUAGAGCAACAUCAAAUUCACACGUGCGGUUUGGUUCGUUUUGAAGUUAGCUAUAUAGCACAGGUAAGAUUACAUUGUACACUUAUUUCCUUCUUCCCAAUCAUGUACAUGUUUCUCCACCUUAGUUAUCUGAUCAUUGAAUUGACUUUUUGUCACAGUUGCUUGCUUACUACUCUUUCAAUUCGGGUUAUUGAACUUCUAUUUUCAAGUAAUCUUAUCUAUGAUGUGUCCACUUCUUGUAUUUAAUUAAGCUGUGACCAACUUAGCAAUAAUUACACAAGUUUUUAUUAAUUGGUCUGUACAUGUUCCACUAUUUUAAAUAGUAAAUAAAUUCAGUGGUUGAAGGUGCAUAGAAUGAUAGUCCAUCGUACAUGAAACUUUCUUAGCUCACACCGGGUAAGAAAGAAAAAAAAAGUAUGAAGCUAAUUUGUUAUAACAUAAAACUUCUCUUAAUUCAACAGAUCUGUGCUCUUAAUUUUUAUGAACACCCGGUGUUUGAUAAAAUUCUUCAAUGAAAAAAGACCCAUAAACUUUUGGCUCCUCUUUUAAGUCAAGUGUAUUAAUGUUUGUUUUGUAUAUGAGCACUUAAAUCUUGAGGAAGCGACUCCAUUUCUCUCUUGUAAGUUGAGUGUGUCAGUGUCACCCAUAUAAAAGCUUUGUUUUUCAGUCUCUGAAAUAAAAAGAAUAAAAUUUGGUUACAAAUAUCUUAUGUUCAGUGCAGGUUUCCAUCGCCACCUUCAAUGAAUCUGUCUCAUGAUGAUUUUGAGUUAACAAUUGUUCACUAAACCUAGAUAAGUUACAAUUAUGCCCAUGACUAUGAGCCAUCCAUUGAUUAUUUUAAACCUAUUUGAGAAACAGAACACUUAUGCAUAUUAUCUGAUUUUUGAUGCAUCUGAGGUUUAACAUUUUUUUUAUAAUCAAAUUUAGUUUGAUAUUGGAGUUGUCAUUAUUUAUAAUCACGCUCAGAUUUUGAAAAUGCCACUUAUGUAGAAAUUAUUUGAUGAAAAAAACAUUAUAUUUUCAUUCAUUGUUUAAUUUGUCACUUUGUGCAUGUUUUUGUCGACAUACGGUUGUACCAUAUGAUGACAUGAAAAUUUUUAUGUGGUGGCUGGUUUAGUUGGAUUAAAAGACGUUACCUGUCAAGUUGAUUUUAUGCAGUGGCGGGCUUAGUUAGAAAUAUUUGAUGAAAAAACAUUACAUUUCCAUUUCUUCACAAUCUUCAAACCUUUGGUCAUUUAUUUAAAGUUGCGUAAUGAUCAAUGUUGCAUACUUUAUGUCAGUUGCAUAAAUUUGUAAUGAAAGUGAAACACUGUUGCAGAAUUUGUCUAAAAAAAAUAAAAAAAAUUGGUGCAUAAACUGGUCCUAGAAUGAAACAUAGUUGAAUAAUGAAUAUUAUGUCUAAAAAAAUAUUUUGUUGCAUAAAUUGACUAACAUGUGCAAUCAAUGUCCGUGGCUUAAACAUGUUAAAUCAUAUGGUUAAAAAUGUAAUUCACUCACUUUUCUUAGAAGCAUAUGGUUCCGAAUACAAAUAGAAUCCUAAUAGAUAGAUGAAAAUAAAAUCAUAUUCCUAACCAUCAAACGGCUCCUAGGUGAUUACUUCUUCCCUUUGCUCGACUCAAACGGCUCUAGCUUCGGCCGCAAAGAGUUGACGUUUGAGAUUGGCUAUUUCUUUCUCAAGAGAGUGUAUGUAGUCUGUAUCACUUUCCUUAAUAGUGUGUGAGUCUGAUAGGGCUUCCGAUGGGUGGGGCUUACUAGGUGUAUCCUUAACGUCCUUUCCUUCAUCUGACUCCUGGUCAGAUUCAUCAUAUUCGUAAUCAGUUACCACGUACUCUUCCGGUUCCACUCCGGGUCCCACCUCCCAUUGUAGGGCCUCCUUCAGGCUUUUCUUCAGGAUUGUCAUCUAGACCCACCUCAAUCUCCCUAUAGACUACUAGAGCUUGAUAGUAGGGGUCGUCUUGCUGCAUUCCUGCCAUAUUGCCCGCGUGGGAAGUAUAGGUGUGAAAAGUGUGUGCAUUGGGGUGUAUAAGGAUAGUAUUCUUAAAAUACUCCUACAAUGUUUAUUUUUCUUAAGUUUAGUUCCUUUAACCUAUUUGGAUAGUUAGAUGGUAAGCUUUCGGUUUAUUGACCAUCACGAUUAUUCCCAAACAUAUGUUGAUCUUACUUUGAAUGAAUGUAGUUGAUUAGGCUACAUUGAUCCCCAAUACGAUUACAUAACUGCCCUGAUUAAAUCGCAAUGUUCAAAUCCCCCAAAAACUUUUAUUGUAUAGUAUCAUGCUAUUAUUCUAAAACACGCACAUAGGUAAGUAUUUUAUUUACUCUGUUCAGAGUUAUUUAGCCCCAUUGUGUUUAUAGUUGCAUAUCAUGUAUGCUUAGAUAUGUUAGUUCACUAUAAACAAAGCUCUGAUACCAACCUGUCACACCCCUGAACCAGACGACGGAAACGUCCGGGGGUUCGUGUGACUUAAAUUGAAAUAUUAUCACAAUGAAUAUACAAGAAACAUAACAUAAACAUGACCAUGCAGUAAUACAUUACAACUGACCUUGUUCACAUCAAGUACAUUGUUUACAUUACAAUAUCACAGAGCAUAAAUUGUUUAACGAUUGACAUUUGCACAAAAGAAAGAAAAAGGGAAGAGGGAAAAGGGAAGAGGGAAAGAAAGAAUGGCAUGGAAACAUGAGAUCAUGCAUAGUCACAUGUUGUGUAAUAUGCUUAGAUGACCACUGAACAAUAAUGAGGUGGCUAGCACUCAUUAAUCUUCUUAGUUUCUCCGUUUUUGUAUUGGGCCGAAAUGGGCUGAAGAAAGAGGAAAGGAAUCACUUUGGCCCAUUCUUGGUCUUGCUCGAAAGUGUGAAGUCUCUAUACAAGUUUUCGGCCCAUUGGGCCUUUAGGGUAGUUCAUGGCCCAAUGAAAUCCAAUUGGAGAGGGUUUACGGUCCAAUAAGGAAUUUAAUUCACUUAUGGCCCAAUAAGGCCCAUUAGUGUAAAAUGAUCCAUUCUAGACCCAUAAGGCCCAAAAGGUUAAGUUUCAUGAAAGUGGGUCCAAUUAGGGCCCAUUUAAGGGUUCUAAGCCCAAAGUAGUCAAAUUGAAAGCUUAUUGGUCCAUUAGGCCCAAUAAGGAAAUCCUAGUCCAUAAUGGAUUUAGGUCGGGAUUCUUAGGGUUUUCAAACCCUAACUUGACUUUGUAAUGUUUUGCAUGAAGUUUGGGCUUUAUAAUUGGAUUUUUGAUGAAAGUUUGUUGUUAUUGAAUAACAUCAUAUGCAUAUCAAGUUAUGGUUACAAUUUGUUGUCAUUGAUAUUGUUUACAAAAGUAUAGAAUUUCCUAGCAAAUUUGCUAGUUGUGACAGAUACGACCCGUAUGGGUCGAUUUGGUCAAGUCUACCGACGCAGGAGAUAAGUUCAAGAUUGAUGUUGGAAUAAGUUUUAAGAUUCCUUUAGGAUUCAAGUUUCCUUUUUUACAGUUUCUUUUUAUUAAUGUAUUAGUUUUGGAUAUUGAUUAGGUUUUUUGUUAUUAAGGAUUUGUUUAGGUUUAGCUGGACAUUAUAAAUAAAGCACCUUAGGAACACAUUUUUCUUUAUGCAUGGAAUACAAGUCUUUGACUGUUUUUUUGGAGAAUUCCCUGUUUCUCGAAUCACAGGCGGGUCGACUAAGGUUCUUACCUCCGGGAAGGAUCUUGAUCUUAUUAAAGAUCUAUGUCAGAUGCUGUUAUUUCACCACCUGAAAUAUUAACAAAAAAAAUAAUAAAAAAGUUUCCAAUUACAACUAAAAAGUUUCACUGCCCCUCCCCCAAAACAGAAUCUAGACAUCAGACAUCAGGUAGCAAUGCGAGUGAAAAGAGUGACAACAAUACUGGUAUAACUUACACCGACUCCAAAGGUGAUUUGGAGACACAAAAUAGGUAUUUUAAACUUCUUUCAAUCAUGGAAAUAAAAAGAGUUAGUUACAAGAAUUGUCCUUGUGUUAUACCCAAAGUUGCAUAUUCAAUCCAACUUUGUUUUUUCUGUUUCAUUUUGGUCCCUAACAUUGGUUUUUGUUUCCGAUUUAUCACUGGUCCUGUAAAAUGACAUGUAAAAAUAGUUUAAAAAUAAACAAAUUAUAGAAAACUUUACAUUUUUGUUCCUUAAGUAUGGCUGCUUUUUUGCAAUUUUGGUCCUAAAACGUUUUCUUUUGCAUUUUUUGUCCUUAGUUGACAUUCGUGUAAUGUUUUUGGUCCCGGUUCCAAAUUAAGUGACAAUUUUUUCUCUAUGGGUGUGAUUUUGCAAUUUCGAUCCCAAAAAUAGCCAUUUUACUAGGAACAAGGGAAAAAAAAACGUUAUAAAAAUCUUAAAUAAGGACCAAAUUAGCAUGACAACCUUUUGGGACCAAAAUUAAAAACAUCAGCUAUACUCAGGGACCAAAAAUGCAAUGUACUUUAAAAAGAAACAUAUGAGGGUAGAAAAUUCAUUUUAUUGUAGAAGUUGGACUAAACCUGAAAUGUUGGGAAUAACAUAGAGACCAUUCUUGUAAUUACUCUAAAAAAGAAUAAAACUUGGUAACAAAUGUCUACCUUAUAAUGGGUGCAGUCUUUCAUCGCCACCAUUAUGACGGUUUCGACUUUACCAUUGUUCAUGAAACCCUGAGAAAUGACUAUAAUGCCCUUGAUCAUGAGCCACCCAUUGUGAAGGAAACACCAAUCAAGAGCAGUUACCCUACUACUCUUGAAUCUGUCUCCGAGUCAAUCAUAAUCUAAUCAAAGUUUCCCACUCGUUCCUUUUCUUCCCCUUGUUCCACAUUAGCUUCUGAAUGCAUGAACACAACAACACCGCCUAAAAAACAACAAAUCCCUCAAAACAAUUCACAUAUAGAUUCAAGCGUCAAUUCCCAUUUUCAUAAAAGAAGAAAGUCUUCAGCUUUAGCAUCAGUCAAGAUGGCCCACUUUGAUUCCCCUGACCCUAAAACCAAAUUUCCAGUUAAAGAAACCAUGAAUCUUGAUGAUGAAACCAAGAAUGAUCUAAAAAUAUCGUGUUCACUAUGUGCAAAACCCACUGGGUCUUGCGGAAAAUGACUAUUAUGUCCCUUGUUCUUUGAUGUCGUUAUCUAAGGUGCAGUUGGUGUCAAGUUGGAAAGGGAGAGAAAAGGGUCUCACAUGUGUAGCUGUUGUGGUGUCUGAUAUUACAUGUGUUGAUGGGAGAAUUUGGAGCAAAGAAGAUGGAUGUGUAUUAAAUACGGCUUUCUACCCUUUCUGUAGUGAUCAAGUCAAUUGCCUUGGGUUACAUGUUGUGGCAACUGAUUCCUCUAAUGUGUAGCUUUUAAACAAGGUAUCAUAUCAAUUCAUACUAUUAUAAUAUCUUGUCGCAUAUCCAACUGAUAAUUAUUGAGGGCAUAUUGGUUAUUUUGUUGAUUUAUGUUUUGGGAGUUGGGAGUUGGGAUGUGAUGAAUAUGAUCACAAAAUAUCUUUGAUCCUUCAGAGAUAUACAACCAACUUAUAUAACUUUUCUAUAUGCAGGUGCUCUUUUAUUCUGAAAGACUAGAAAUCCAACAUAUCGAUACAUCAACAACAAAUAACGUAAUUUUGCAUACGUUUCAAAUCGAAAGUGACUCCCUUAAAACAUUUGCAACUUUUGUCUUAUUGAAAUCAGGCACACAGUCCCAAUCCAAUACAUACCAAAUGCAGUACAACCUGUUUUUUCAUAUACCGUCAUGUGUAACAAACUGGAUUUUAAUUGUAGGAAGUCUCACCUUCUAGUGUUACAAGUUUGAGUAAAGGCGUCUCACAAAAUCCGUUUGAGAAAUUUGCCUACACAUCUCCACAAACCAACUUGAUAGGUUGAAGAACCACAAAAUCUAAGGUCAAAAAUCUAUAAUAUCUUGUUAUUUAUAGAUUCAUUAAACGUAUUUUAAAUUCUAGUUAAAGUUAAACUAUGUUUGUUGAUCAUGCAGAUGAGAUUACCAAAGAAAGUCCAAGUAUCCACUUCUGAAUAUUAAUGCCUAACCUUACAUGUAAAUUCUCAAUCAUUGCUAAAUUGGUUUUAAACCUAUUUGGGAAAUUUAGGAUCUAUGGUUAUUAUAUUAAUUUCAUGAUACAUUUGAGGUGUAUGACCAAUAAAAUGUGACUAUUGUAGUUGUAACAUUCUUUAUGACCAGCCAUAGUUUUAAUUUUGUUGUUUAUAAUGUUAUUUUCCUGCUUUUGGACAUGUUAAAUAAUCAACUCUAAUACGUUUUAAUUAAAGAUAUAAUAUUUUGAUGUAGAAAGUUGGAAUGAUCAAAUGAUUAGUAUUUAGUAGGUUAAGUGUUUUUAAUGAUAAAUAAAAUAUUUUUUACUAUAAAAUAGCCAACAAGACCAUAAAAGUAAUAUUUUGCUAAACAUGAAAUUAUAUUUCACUAAUUCAACCAUUUAAACCCUCGUCCAAGAAAACCAAUGGGACCAUUAUGGACUAUGAAAAAGAGAAUACGGAAAUGAUAGAUGUUGAAAUGAUGAAAGAAAUAUCUUACUUAAAUUUGUAUCACUCUUUAUUGUCUAAUCAUUUCCCAUUUUCCUAUUUGUUUUUCAUUUUUCAUUAGGCUUCAUGAUUUUUGUAGAUGGUGGUUUCCUGAUAGUGAGGUCAUAGAUUAAAUUUAUGUAAAUUUGUGCGUUCAAAUGUUAAAGGUCAUUCGAACGUAUUUGCUAUUGAUAUUUGAUUAUUUUUGCUAUCAUUAAUUUGGCUCAAACGGAAAAGUACAACUCUUUGCAGUUAGAUAAAAAAAAUUGUGAUCGAAUUUACUUUGACUGCAUUGAUAAAAUAUGAAACAAUUAAAGAAGUUUGCAAUCACGUGGACAUAUUGCGUACUCAGUCUAAUUUUGAUAAGUGGUACCGGUUAGAGUCAUAUAUUCAAACACUUCAAUCUAAUACUAUGAGUGUCCAAGAUUUUUUGUUAGGACGUUUUGUUAUUAAAAGUUUUGAACUAUUUUUUCUCAUUAUUUUAAACCAUUUAAUUUAAUAUGAUAUGGUUUUUUAAAACACAUGUUUUAGUUGUUAAAUUAAAUUAUUACAUAAGCUUUUUCAAAUAUUAGACCAACUAAUAAUCAUCCCACUAAAUACAAUUAUUUUGAAAUUUUUUACAAAUUCUCUUUUUCUUUUUUGCAAAGGGAUGCCCAAAAUUAGGGUGAUAUAUAUGUGGUGUAAAUGAAAUAUCACAUAUUAAGGUGGGGUAGGGAUCCGACAUUGUAUCGUGCUUCAAUAGAAACCGGUGGGACCUUUGACUGUUAGUAUAUUACUUGUGCUAUACUCUGUAGUAUGUUAGGCAAUGCUCUUAGUACCUAGAUUAUGACUGUUGACUGCAUUAUUUCCAUCCAUCCAAUACCAUGGUAUUUGCAGGUCAACAGCAAUAAUUGAGGCUUGUUCAUACUUCAAUAUAUUGGCCUUCUUCUUCACAAUUCCAACCAGUUGUACACAUACGCACUUUACAAAGCAGCAAAAACAGCAAGCAUUAGCACAGGCGCAUAUAGUAGAAGAGGUAUGUUUUUGUUGAAAGUUUUUCUCUUUGUUUAUGAAUAAUUUUUCUUAGUUGUUUUUAGUUUUCAAUCUAUCGAUCCUUGACGAAAUUAUCUGAAAAAAAUGUUUUGCUUUGUUACUUGUUGUGGAUUGUUCGUGUAUGCUCCACAUAUAAAAUCAAGUCAAUGUUUAAAUGAAUGACAAUGCCUCCUCAUUUUCCCUCUUUUGAUUAUUGAACAAUGUUUUGGAGGAAUGGUUUUCUUAGGACAGAUGCUUCCACGUAGAGAUCAGUUCUAGCCCUAAUAAACCCCCUAAUAGUAUCACUGUGGGACUCUGUUUCCAACUAAUAGAUACCCUAAUUAAAAGGCACGGUAUUUUGUUCCUCAUCUCUCACAAUUUUACAUGAUGAUGAAGAUGUUGAAAUUAACAAUCUAUUCCCACUUUCAAUCAUUUCAAAGAAAACCAAGGUUAAGUUGACAAGGGAAGACAAACAGCAAAAUUAACUAUGAAUUUACAUACACAUUAAUUUACCAACUAUCAAUUCUAUUCUAGCCAAACUUAUUAUGUGUCCUGAAUCCUGAAGGAAACUUUUUAUAACACUAAUUAUCUAUGGAUUGUAUAUGAUAUUUGAAAAAAGAUAGCUGCGCAGGCUAAUAAUUAACAACUUUUAACAAUUUCAUUGCCUUUUUUAUCUGUUACAGGUCUUUGUAAAAGCUAGAAUAUUGAAAGAUGGAGCUUGUAUCUACAAUCAUUAGUCCUAUUGUUGAAUCUUUAAUUGCUCCUGUCAAGAAACAACUGAGAUAUCUCUUUUCGUCCACGAAACAUGUUAGGAACAUGAAUACUAAAAUAAAGCUACUGGAUGAUACAAGCCGUGAUGUCAAAAAGCACAUGGAAACAAACAAUAGAAGUAAUCUGGAGAUACCUACUCAUGUACUGGGGUGGUUGAAAGAAGUCGAAAAGACUAAAGAAAAAGCUCAAAGCAUUCCAAGUACUGGGAACGGAUGUUGUAACUUGAAAAUGAGGUAUCGAGCUGGAAGGAAGGCAUUCAAGACUACGGAGGAGAUGGAAAGUCUUAUUGAUGAAAAUAGUAAGAUAAUUUGGACAAAUGCUCAAAGACCUCUUGGGAAAGUGAACUCAGAAAUCGCAUCCAGUUCUGCACCUUCGGAUGGUGAUGCCCAAAAUCACUUCAAAUCAAGAGAGAAGUCUUUUAAGAACGCCUUGGAGUCCCUCCAACAAGAUCACAAGAGCAAAGUGAUAGCCC